UACGUAGGGGGCAAGCGUUGUCCGGAGUUACUGGGCGUAAAGCGCACGUAGGCGGCUUUCUAAGUCGGGGGUGAAAUCCUGGAGCUCAACUCCAGAACUGCCUUCGAUACUGGAGAGCUCGAGUCCGGGAGAGGUGAGUGGAACUGCGAGUGUAGAGGUGAAAUUCGUAGAUAUUCGCAAGAACACCAGUGGCGAAGGCGGCUCACUGGCCCGGUACUGACGCUGAGGUGCGAAAGCGUGGGGAGCAAACAGG
rnacentral:rRNA from 1 species